UGGUAAAGUCGCAAAGAAUACUGUUUGUUUCGUGGAUUGGCGUUUGUGACUGAAUCCAUCGAAAUUACUAAUUAUUUGAAGAAAUCUGGGGAGUCAGCACCCUGCUGAAUUGUAGUAAACGAGACGUCCAAUCUACUAAACCAUCAAAGAUGCAGAUUUGGAUUUUCUAUUUCAUAGUUAUUGAAAUCAUAAUGAGAAUGAAGUACUGCCACUAAGGUAAAGGUGCUAACUUGCAAGGAGCUGUUCUCAAAACAUUGGGUGACAAAGAAUUCACUUUUACAAAAAUUGAGCAGGAUAUUAAAGACAGCGAACUAUAGAACAAAUAUGGCGAAGCUGCAUGAAGUCUAUGUUGAAUUUUAUUAUUGAAAAAAAUAUGCUCUUCAGAUUUAAUGUUAGUUUUUAUUGUUUAACAGUAAUUGCAGUUUUCGAAUACCUGUAAAAUAAACCUAAUUCUUAAAUUAA